ensembl:miRNA Mir6364 microRNA 6364
CUAUAGGGCUGGGGAAUAGCUUAGUCAGCAAAGAGCUUGUUUCACAAGCAUGAGGACAUGACUUCAAUCCCCAGCACUCCUGUGAA